rnacentral:rRNA from 1 species
CACGUAGGCACCAAGCGUUGUCCGGAUUUAUUGGGCGUAAAGGGCUCGUAGGCGGUUCGGUAAGUCGGGCGUGAAAACUCUGGGCUCAACCCAGAGCCGCCACCCGAUACUGCUGUGACUCGAGUUCGGUAGGGGAGGCGGGGAAUUCCUGGUGUAGCGGUGAAAUGCGCAGAUAUCAGGAGGAACACCAGUGGCGAAGGCGCCGCCUCGUCGGGCGAGACUGACGCUGAGACGCGAAAGCGUGGGGGAGCGAACAGG